UCCUUUCCCCAUGUGCUCAAUCAGCGGUUCUAGGCCGUGACUCAGCAGUUACCAAACUAGUAGUCAGCAAGGGCCAUGACUUGGUGCAUGUGUUGAUACUACCCAGAGCUGCAAACCACUCCCAGGGGAGAUGGCUUUUCCAUGCUUCCAGGGGGACCCUUCCACAGCACCAUUUCCAUAGUCUUCCAAGCCACACCUGGCAAACUGAAGCAAAUGCUGCAGCUUUAACUCUCAAAAGCUCAAUGCAAUUUGCUGCACCAUUUUUUGCUUCUGCCUGUUUGUUGGACGUUACUUGGUACAUCCUGGAAUUUCAACUGUGUAUGCAGGGGAAAAAAAAAAAACCACCACAAAAAAACCCAGCACAGAGUAUUACUUAGGAUGCAGUUUCACAGGCAGUUCAAAUCACUAUAAAAUUGCUUGAUCCUGAGAGCAAAGGUCAUAGCCUCACAUUGCUCGCAUACUCCUUCCCUCUCUCACGCUUUUCUUCUGAAAUCACAAGGCUAAGGGAUGAGUCCAGAUCAGAGUGCUAAUCUAGCAGUCUUUUUAGAGCUGUCUUUUUAGAGCUGGUGUUCAUUUGGAUUGGCAAAUGGCUGCAUUCCUCAUCUAAUCUGACCUUUUAAAAAAGCAUUUGCUAACACUGAAUUCAUCUUCUAAGAUUUACAGCGUACUAUCCAUCCCUGUUGCCGCAAUAGCAAACGCUCUGUCAGAUUCUCUCUGUUUAUGAUUCUGUGCCACAUCUCCAAGUUGCAUCCAACAUGAAGAAACAAUUUACCCUCAUGCAGGUACAGGAGCCUGAUAGGAACAUACUGACCUAAGACUGCUGCUCCAGAAGGAAUGCUGUGGCCUUUUCUUUGAUGCACCUUGAGAUUAUGCCUUGGGUGUAUCUAAAAGGACAGAGAAGCUGCUCGUUUGUAAGGUUCUAUAAGUGAAAGCUGAAGUCAGAAUAAAGGUUUCCUUUCUGCCAUGAGAAAGGGUGGAUUGUCAACCACGUGGAAACUACUAGCAUUAUCCAUACUCUGAGGAAACGGCCUAGAAGCAGACUGGGACAGCAGAAACCAGCGUAGGGGGUAGGCUCACUUAACUACAAAAUGUGUUUUCAGAUUCUGCUGAUGCAAUGGAGUCUCCAAAGCCUUUUGAGGCUAGCAUUUCCCUUUUCUGGUGGCUGAGAUGGGACAGGCAGUGCCCUACAGACACAUCCUAAGUGUCUGGCAUACUCACAUUUCCUUUUGAUGGUUUUCACAUGCAGCAGAAUCUGGUGUUCUGGCGGAAGAAAAGCCUGAUAAUAAACAUAGAGAGAAAUAGCCUGUUGAAUCCUUUCAGAGCCAAAAUAAUGCAUGACUUCAUGCAGGCUCCUUUCUUAUUCCUUCUUUGUGCUCAUUUACCCACCAGAAGAGCAAACCACCCCCCACUGUCACCAAGUGGAUUACAGAUUUCACUAAAACAUGGACAUCCACUUCAAGGUUUGAUGGUAUUUAGGACUAAAUUCAGAGCUCCAUGCGCAUCAGCCCAGCCGGUCAGAGCUCUGAGAUCACUGCAGGAGCCAGAGAUACUUACCAUCCACAGGCCAUCAAGGUUGAAAGAAGUCAUUCAUGGAAGAGUCAGAAGCAUCACAUGUAUAUGUGGAUAUAAGGAAGUCUCAAUACCCACAGAAGCCAGUUGUUAGUGCUUCUCGGCAAUGAGAGAAUUGUUUCCAUACUGCUAUUCAGUUCCUUUUGCAUACAGUAUAGUGAAUCUUAUCCUCACAUUCAUGCACAGUUGAAGGCUAAUCAAGAUCUCAUAAGUUACCAGGCCUCUUACUGUUAUUGAAUUUCCCUCCAUUUCUUAUCUUGAGUAGCUAUUAUAAUUCCAAGUAUUCAAGGGAAUGUCACUCAAAAAAGAUAAGGUAAUAAGCCAUUGAUAUAGGACCCUUGUACUUAGAUUUCAGCAUACCUAGCUCCCUGUUUAUAUUAUUAACCAUGGCAGAAAAAAAAAGGGGGGUUUUAAAUUACCCAACACUUCCUUCUCAAACAGUGUGUGGAGUAGAAAUUGCUCAGCAGAUGUCAUCUAUCCUUCUUCACCAACAGAAAAGAUUUUGGGGGGGCAAUUUUGCCUGUUUUCCUAAGGAAUGCAGAUUCUGAGGGGAGAUGGUCACCCCCAAAUGCCUCCAUUGACAUAUAUCCAUCUCAGAUCUUUGAAAGGAGAAAUUAAUUGCUUGAGUCUGUUUGACUAAGCUU
ensembl:lncRNA